GAAAUGCGAUAAGUAAUGUGAAUUGCAGAAUUCAGUGAAUCAUCGAGUCUUUGAACGCACAUUGCGCCCCCUGGUAUUCCGGGGGGCAUGCCUGUCCGAGCGUCAUUGCUGCCCUCAAGCACGGCUUGUGUGUUGGGCCCCCGCCCCCCGGUCCCGGGGGGCGGGCCCGAAAGGCAGCGGCGGCACCGCGUCCGGUCCUCGAGCGUAUGGGGCUUCGUCACCCGCUCUUGUAGGCCCGGCCGGCGCCCGCCGGCGACCCCCAUCAAUCUUUCCAGGUUGACCUCGGAUCAGGUAGGAGUUACCCGCUGAACUUAA
rnacentral:misc_RNA from 1 species